CAUGCAGGUGGCUUGACAAGUCGGAUGUGAAAGCCCCGGGCUUAACCUGGGAACUGCAUUCGAUACUGUCAGGCUAGAGUAUGGGAGAGGAAAGUGGAAUUCCCGGUGUAGCGGUGAAAUGCGUAGAUAUCGGGAGGAACAUCAGUGGCGAAGGCGGCUUUCUGGCCCAAUACUGACACUCAUAUGCGAAAGCGUGGGGAGCAAACA
rnacentral:rRNA from 1 species